AUUCCUGGGCCACAAAAGUCUGUCAGACAAGGGACCAUGCAAGAUGCACAAAAUUGCUCAAGCGUCAAAGGGCUAAACAUUG